rnacentral:rRNA from 1 species
UACGGAGGGUGCAAGCGUUAUCCGGAUUCACUGGGUUUAAAGGGUGCGUAGGUGGGUCUGUAAGUCCGUGGUGAAAUCUCCAAGCUUAACUUGGAAACUGCCAUGGAUACUAUAGGUCUUGAAUACCGUGGAGGUGAGCGGAGUAUGUCAUGUAGCGGUGAAAUGCUUAGAUAUGACAUAGAACACCAAUCGCGAAGGCAGUCCGCCAAACCAUUACUGACACUGAAACACGAAAAGUGCGGGGGAUCAAAACAGG